GCAUAGAACCAAAUUUAAUCUUGAAAAGGAACAAUUAACUCAGAGAAAACAAUGGUUAAGGGUAUUAGAGAUAUUGUCUCACAUCGAAAGUUGAAUAGGGUCUUAAGUGGUAUAUAUAAGAUAUGGGUCUCUUCACCUAUUACCAAUUGAUUUUAGGCUGGAAGCCCACAAUCUAAUAAAAGGGAAGAUAACCAAAAGGAAAGUUUAACUCGAUGAAUGCUUACGCACCAAUAAACCGUCGAUGCCGACGAAAAAAUCCAUCUAUAAAAUGGCACAAGA
rnacentral:sRNA from 1 species